CUCGCCCGGGUCCGUGGUUGCGCGGGCAGGCCCUUCGUGCGGCGGGAGCUGCGGGAGGGUCUACCUGGCAAGCCGAUGCCAGCCGCAGGCGAAACGGCCCACGUAAGGCGACUUCUCGUCGACUGAUCACGGUGCGGCUUAGAGGUAAGUCCUGCCCCGCCGGGGGAUACCGAGUUCCCCGCCCCGGGAGAAGGGCAGUAGUGGCUAUGGAAGGCUGCGAACCCCUCAGCAGGCGGAUGUGGGGGCGAAGACCAGGUCGGCCGGGCGAG
rnacentral:ncRNA from 12 species